UUCACCUAUAAAAUAAUCAUAAAAUUUUUAUUUUUUCCAUUCCAUUCUAACAAAAUAUACGUUUCUGUUCACAGGUUCACGUUAAAUGCGUUCGAUCGAUCGUAAAGAAACCGAGAAGGGAGAGAGAGAGAUGGAAAGAAAUCGCGGGUAGACAGGGUGGACAGGCAAAGAAACAGAGAUGUCGUAAUUUAGGUCGAGAUAAGAAACGUGCCGGGUGUUUUCUUGGUUAUCCGCAGUUUUCAUUUAUACCGUGGAACGGGCCGGACAGAUUAAAUAUUGUUGGGAAAAGAAUGGCCCCGACAGAAUCGAAAACAAUACGAAAGUCUGUCGAUAGAGCGAGUGAUACCACCACGGCUUCUAAAAGGACGGUUUUCCUACCUUUCUUUUUCGCUCUCGACAUGCGCUUUCUUUCCGCUCUGUCCAAGUUUAAACUUGGAACGAUAUUGUACUGCCACUUGUGUGUAUAUCGAUAUUUCUGUCAAACAAGAUCGAACAUUAAACGAGAAACUGUUUCGAGCUGGAAUCCCGUAUCUGUCUAUAUACUCUCUCCACGCUCGAAAAAUAUACACUUGUAAAUUUCACGCGGCAAUCGUUCUGUUUCGCUAUUUCAAACAUACAUACGUGCAUAUGUAGUUAUAAAGAGAACUGGUUCGGAAUAUUAUAUGAUGAUGCAUGGUAAUUCUAUGAAAAAUUGAAAGAAAAAUAGAAUAGCAUGGGAAACGUUAAACCCGUGGAACAAAAAAAUAUCAUGAAAAUUUGAAAAUUUGGGUCAAACAAAAUGUCGAUAUUUCGAAAGAAAUGGAAUAUAUUAUCGCAAAAAACACGAUAUUUUUGUAAAAAUCGAACAAAUCUUGUAAAUUCCUAUGAUAAUAUCGAAUAAUAUAAGGAUUCAAAUUUGAGUUCAUUUAAAUUUCUAAUAUUUAUUCUAUCCAAAUUUUCUCUCUCUUAUAAUCCAAAUCUGAUUUUAGAUGAGAUAUUUUUAACGUGAAGAGGCUGGUUCAAUGGCUGUCAAAUUUCUUUCCUCUUCUUCCAUGGGAUUUACUUCCACGAAAUAUAAUUCCCCGUAUGAUAAUCGCAAAGCUUUCAGAUUAUUGUGCAUCGAUGCAACGAUUUGUCUGGGCGCAGUUAGUUAUAACAGAGCGCGUAGCAUCGGAACGAAAUCGAUGAACGAAACGACUCUGGGUUGGAUUAAACCACGCAUAUCUGGCAUCCAUUGCAGGUUGCUGCGCUGCCAAAUAUUUCUGUCGACAACGAGCAGUGGGAAGACACUGAAAUAUGACCUGUGGCGGCCGCGCUACUGGAUUGCGAAAUCUGGAUAUAUCAUGCGCGAAUAAAUGACCCAGGCUACAAGUAUUAUCAAAACUGGUGUGGAACGAAAAAACGAGAACUGGAACGUUGAUGAAAAUCGUGACAGAUACGAAAAUAAUUCGAAACGGUGGAAAACGUCAAUUAAUAUUAACGAGAACGAUCGACAAAGGUUUUUACGUUUUCUGGCGCUGAUGCAUCAUGAAUACAACAUGCCGAUAAUCGAAAUAGAGGCCAUUCGAGGCUCGCUGUUAAUUCACGGGCGACGACGUAUCAACGAAACCACGUGGAUCGAUACGAUUCUCGUUUCGACAAAGAAAAAAAAAUAUCAAAACAUUGGAUCAAAUGCAUUAAAUUAAAUUAAGAGUAAUCUUCCUUCCUUGCGAGAAAUAAUCUUCAGAGAGUUCCAAUCUCGAGAUAGAUUCGCAUUCUUAAACUUUGAUUGAUCAUCCCGAUCCCUUUUCUUUAAUUCCUUCUUCAGAGGGUUUCUUUAUUGACAAAACGACGUAGAAAAAUUUUCCAUAAAAUUUAUUUCCAUUCCACGGAAGGAUAUCGGAUUUUUUCGAAGUUUCGAGGAUCCAAAUUUAAAAUCGGACACCCCCCUCAUCGAGGGAAAAGAAAAAAAACGAUCUAACCCAUUUCGUCCCAUUGUACCACCACCACUCGAGGAGUUGGGAAAUUGCGGACAAUUAACGCGAAUUUUCAACUCGGUAAUAAUCGGCCGUUCUCGAUGGUAUUUCGAAGGAAAGGUUUUUCACGCUUCUCAAAGAGAAAAACUUUUGACCCCGUUCAAGUUCCAUCCAUCGUGGAACCGAAACUUCUGUCACGCCCCUUCACGAUGAAAUUACGUUUCAACCCUCUGCAAUAUCAGCUUCUUUUUUCCCUGGACAGGGUGGCGGAGAAGUGUGCGAAGAAUCGGGGAGAGAAAAUUUAAAUAUAGCCGGCAAAUUCAGAAUCCAUCGUCGCUGACCCGCGCGACCCUUGGAGAGAAAGAUCGCCGAUAAAAAUUCUUGAAACGGGUCACUGAUAUUAUUCAAUCGCGAGAUGUUGCACUUGUGAAUAAUUACGCAGAAAGUUAUCCGUUUCGUUAAACGUGUGCGCUUUCGAGAAGAUGAGAAUCGACUUAUUUUAAGAUGGAGACCAUUCGACGAUGUAAUAGGAUCGCGAGGAAUUCAAGAGAGGUUGUUUGGAAGAAAUAUAAUAAUUCCUUUAUCAA
rnacentral:lncRNA from 1 species